rnacentral:lncRNA from 1 species
UUCUUUAUGCUUUUCCCCCAGAUUUUCUACAGUACACAUGAACUGCUCACAUAAUCUGGAAUAAACAACAUGUUGAUGAAAAUAUGAAAAUUCAUACAUAUUCAAGAUGGCUUCAUGUAGUCCACUGAGCAACCUAGAAUGUAUCAAAGAUUAACUUUCAAAACACCUGGACAAUUGGGAAUUUGACUUCCAAAAGCAAUCUUUUGUGUCCUUGCACAUUUUAUUAUAAUGGAUCUUUAGCUCUUUACCAACCAGCCCUGUUGCACUUUCAGUUAAAACUAGUAAUGGAAACUGUACCUUCCACAUGAAGCAAGAGAGCCCAGUUAUGACUACAGAUAUUAAGAUAAGGGACCAGUUCAUGAACCCUCUACUGAUAGGGCGGUUGUGUCAUCUGGAGGACAUUUCUCCUCAAUUUGAUCUGACAAAAAGCUGGAUGUCAAAUUCUUAGAUAAACAAUACCAAGUUCCUGUGGGGGAAGAGCCAGUCAAAUAGGAGAUACUUGUUCUUGGCAUAAAAGUUUAUACUUAAGAAUUAGCUUAUCGCGUUUCACAGCUCACUGUAAACUAAGAGGGGUGGGGAGGAAAGGGUCAGAGACUGCUCUAAUUACCCUCAUUUGAGUAAGUAGAAUGAAAUGAGGUUUCCUAGGGUAAUUAAUCAAGUCAUGAUGAAAAGGGAUUACAUGCUGGACAUUAUUUUUGGUCAGGGAUUUGGUGAAGACUGCCACUGCCCCACAAAGGACACUGUCAUUGGUCUGGCUGAAGGUUCUCACUUAGGAAAGAACGUAUAGUAAUGCAAGGCUCAGCAUUGAAAAUAAAGGCUUAAGGAAAACAGCAGCAAUUAUCUGGCAUUGCUCUCUCCAAGUCUUGGCUUCAAUUCUUGCUGGUAAUAAGAGGCUUGCAAGUUUCUACGGUGUGUUGGGUGGAAACGGUCUAUGCCUGGUGAUUUUCACAAACAGAUGAAUAUACUCCUAUUUCCAAGCAUGCGAUUCAGCCACUUGGACUCCAGCAAUAACUGCCACCCGUUUCAAAGGAACUGGUGUAAUGCAGUCCUUAUAUCUGAGCUCAGAUCUAUUACGAAAAUCAAGCUGCAUGUUUUUCCAGGUGCUACCAUCUUGGAAACAAGGCACAAGGGGACCAAAAAAUGUGUUUCAGAACCUAAUGUGAAAGCCUCCAAUUAGGCUCUUUUUUAAUCUAGUUAUUGCAAGCUGUUUUGGCUAAAACCCGAAUGCACUUAAAUGUCUUCCAAGCCUGUAUGUUUGCUGCUCUUACUACUGAAGUGUUAUUUUGAAAAUGUUCAAAA